rnacentral:rRNA from 1 species
GACGUAGGGCGCGAGCGUUGUCCGGAUUUAUUGGGCGUAAAGAGCUCGUAGGCGGCUUGUUGCGUCGACCGUGAAAACCCGGGGCUUAACUUCGGGCUUGCGGUCGAUACGGGCGGGCUAGAGUUCGGUAGGGGAGACUGGAAUUCCUGGUGUAGCGGUGAAAUGCGCAGAUAUCAGGAGGAACACCUGCGGUGUAGACGGCUUACUGGACCAUAACUGACGCUGAGGCACGAAAGCGUGGGUAGCAAACAGG